AUGAGAUUCGGUGCAUUGAAUGGACGUGGGCCAUAUGGAGCGGGGAAAAUCAGGAAUACUCCUGUGUACGUAUCAGACAGAUGGGCCCUGGUGAACCGAAAUUUGCACGGCGACGACGGAUGGAGGCCGAGCCGUGGCCCGAGACGUCACCGGCGUCCUGACCCGUGGAUCAGAAUCGGCGCCUUCCGGUGCUGCGGAGAUCUACUACGACGAAGGCGAUUGGGCGCUCCAGCGAGGUCCGAGGCCAUGGAGUUCUUGAUGCAGCCGAUAAACAGAACGCUACUGGUGGAGGUGAACGAUAAUGACAUCACGAUGGGUGCUGUGCGUGUCCCGCUGGAUGCGCCAGCAUAUGUUGAGCUUGCAGCGCCGGCUGCUUCGAGUGCGGAUGGCCAGAUCUGGCGUGAGGAGGGCGGUGCAGAGGCUGGAAGUGCAGAUAAGGCUCAGUGUUCGGAGCACUCCAUAGAACAAUUGGACCCAAAAACACCAGGUUGGACACAAAGGCAAUAUAGAAAAAUUCGAAUUGAAUGGGAAGUGGGUGUGCAGAGUGCAUGUAGGUGCUGCUGCUCUGGGCAGGGCUCCUUGCGCGGACAGGGUGACAGUCCUGGAGAAGACAAUCCGGGAAUUUGCAGAGCAACCUGGAGACAUUGUCAUUGUGCCAAGAUAGGAACAAGUUUCGACACACUUGGUGAGGCCUAUAACUUUUACAACUUGUACUCUUGGGAGAAAGGAUUUGGAAUUAGAUAUGGAAAGAGCAGAAUGAAUGUCAACUGGACAAAGUGUAUGCAAGAGAUAGUAUGUGGAUCCGCGGGGAAACCAAUUGUUGAAAAUACACGUUCAUGUCGAUGUGAAUGCCCAGCUCUCAUGAGAUUGUUGCGGAAGUAUAUGAGCUUAAUCUUUGACAUGGAGGAGAUCGAAAAGGGUAAAAGGUAUGUUGCAAUACAUACUGAUACAACUCGGAGGGAGAGGUCGUGCAGAACUUCUCACAAGGUGACGGUGAUUGAAGGAGGGGAAGAAUGUGACUGUGAGUGUGGACAAUUUGCACACAUGGGGCUGUUGUGCAGCCACAUCCUGAAGGUGCUAGACUUCAUCCGUGUGACCGAAAUCCCAAAGAAACGUAUUGUGAAGAGGUGGACUAGAGAUGCGAGAGAUAUCCUUCCAGCACACCUUAUGCGGUACCAGAAGGACAAUGCUUAA
rnacentral:rRNA from 1 species